rfam:Vibrio furnissii NCTC 11218 chromosome 1, complete sequence.
UGACCCGAGAGGGUCACCUAGCCAACUGACGUUGUUAGUGAAUAUGAUAUUCACGAUGUAACAGCCAAUAGAACCGUUUCUAUUGGCUAUUUUUUU